rnacentral:rRNA from 1 species
AACGAACGCUGGCGGCAUGCCUAACACAUGCAAGUCGAACGAAACCUUCGGGUCUAGUUGCGCACCGGUAGGUACCGCGUGGUAACCUGCCCUUAGGUUCGGAAUAACUCCCCGUAAGGUGUGCUAAUACCGGUUAAUGUCAUCGGGCCAAAGAGUUAUCGCCUUUGGAUGGGCCCGGGUUGGAUUCGCUAGUUGGUAGGGUAAAAGCCGACCAAGGAGACGAUCCAUAGCUGGUCUGAGAGGAUGACCAGCCACAAUGGGAAUGAGACACGGCCCAGACUCCUACGGGAGGCAGCAGUGGGGAAUAUUAGACGAGGGGCGAAGGUCUGAUACAGCAAUGCCGCGUGAGUGAUGAAGGCGGUAGGGUUGUAAAGCUCUUUUACCCGGGAUGAUAAUGACAGUAACGGGAGAAUAAGCUCCGGCUAACUACGUG